AGUUAUGGCCAUACCACCCUGUCUGUGCCCGAUCUCGUCUGAUCUCAGAAACUAAGCAGGGUCGGGCCUGGUUAGUACUUGGGUGGGAGACUGCCUGGGAAUACCAGGUGCUGUAAGCU
rnacentral:rRNA from 1 species